rnacentral:rRNA from 1 species
UACGUAGGGGGCAAGCGUUAUCCGGAUUUAUUGGGUUUAAAGGGUGCGUAGGCGGGCUGUUAAGUCAGCGGUAAAAGCCCGGGGCUCAACCCCGGCGAGCCGUUGAAACUGGCUGUCUUGAGAUGUCGAGAGGUAUGCGGAAUGCGCAGUGUAGCGGCGAAAUGCUUAGAUAUUGCGCAGAACUCCGAUUGCGAAGGCAGCAUACCGGCGGCGAUCUGACGCUGAGGCACGAAAGCGUGGGUAUCGAACAGG